UUCGUUUGAUAUUUAUCCCGCCAAAAUAUCGAUAUUAAAUUAUACUUUACUCUAACUCUAACUCGGUGCGCUCUCUCAAAUCUGUCACAUUUCCAUUUGAAGUAGGCCAUAGAGUGAAGGUAAUUCCAUAUUCAGGAGCCGACUCUUUCAGACAUAAAUUUGACUUUUUGGAUAAGGAUAAGUAUCUCAUGAAGGAAUUAUUAAUAAUUUUAAAUUUUUCUGUAUUUGGCAAAACAAAAAAAAUAUCACCUACAAAUAUGUGUGCAUAAGACAGUACUUUUAAGAUUCAAGAGUAACAAAACAACAAGCAUCAAGGAACUCAUCGUUUUAGUGGCUCAGUAAAACAAAGCUGAUGACAAUGGCUGAUGAAACUACUGAAACCAGCGCGAGCUGAAGAACUUACAUAUCUAUGUACAUGUAUGUUUCUGCAUUACGAAUAUAUUCAACUCCUUUUCCUGCAUAUAGCAGUUGCUGAAGUUGAACUCACGCAGUUAGAAGUACAUAGUAACGAAUGAGAGCGGAACCGAAGUGCAUACAUGCACUAUUCCAUAGUUUAUCGAUUGUGUGUCGCUCAUUGCCGAUUGCCAUUUCACUGUGAAUGAUGAGUGAGUUUAAGCAGGAAGGCAGAGGUCCAAACCCUCUUUGAUGAACUGCUUCAAGGAAAAAAACUUUUGAAUUAUGCCUGUAUCUGGCGUAUACAAAGAUAAUUUUCUGAACCUCUCGGUUUUUUGAUUGAUAUCCAAACGCGGACCAGUGGACUCCAUUUCCGGUGAAUACGAAAACAAUAACAAAUCAAAAUGAGGACAGCCAGUCGGGGAAAUGCGAAAAUGAGGAAAUCGGAAUAGGGACGGAGAAUUUCUUAAAAAUAAAUAAGUAUGAAAUCGGAAUUAUAUCAAGACGAAACACAGCGCAGAUGGGAUGGAUGUGGGUUUGAUAUCAAGUGAUUAAGCUAGCUCUGAGGUAGAAGUACAGUGCGUUUUAAAGCAAAUCAAAUCGAGAAGGCAAAGCAAACUUUUCUUAAAUAUGACGCAAAAGCGAGGAGAGCUUGCAAUUAAGGUAAAAAACACUCUGUAUGAACUAAUCAAAGCGUGGGCUGAUGAUUUCCCCUUCAAGUACUUACAAUAUGUGUCCGUUGUUAAGCGAUCGAUGGUAUCCUGUUUCAACUUGGAGCUCUUUUUUCCCAUGUUGUAUUUUUUUCAGCACUCUUUGCUUUUGUUGUUGCUGUUUCACUUGGCUGCUAUUGC